GUUGCUUAGUGAUCAGAGCAUUGGCGGGUAAGCCAAAGUUCCGGGUUCGAUUCCCGGC
rnacentral:tRNA from 1 species